GUCUUCUUAACCCGGCAGCAGUGACGGGCCAAAUUUGUGGCUUUACCGUGUAGCAGCGACGGGCCAAAUUUGUGCCAUGAUAUAAACCCCCGAAAUAGAUGAUACAUAAUCUGAUCACAAAUGCUUUGAUAUGUAUUAUGAAAUGGUUUGUGUGAGGGGUGAUUUUUUCUCAGUUUUCUCGCUUGGUGGGACCAUUAAGAAACAUGAUCCCCACUGCUACCGGGUUAAAUAUUAAAAAUAAAAUAUAUCUCAAGCUGUCGAAUGUUGGAUGAUGGACCAAGAGCGUAGCGGAGCAAAGGUGGCGACAGCGUGUUGUGGAAGAACAAAGAAUUUAUAUAGCGUAGUGUUUGUUUCCAUCACAAGGAGUCAUGCGUCCCAUGUACAUGCAUUAUUUUUGGUUAGGGGGCCAAUUGUUUUGAAUAAUUAGUAAAAAAAAUUAUGUCGACUGAAUUCAACUCAUGUUUUUGGCAUUACACUUUGCAGAUAUUUCAUUUUUGGCCAUUGCAAUAAAUAGCACAUGACUAAUAUGGUUUAAAAUGACACCUAAAUGAGCUUUUUUUAUGAUGAAAAGUAGCUCUGCAAUGAAUCGUAGAAUCAAGCAUCUCUUAUGUACCUGACUGAAAUUCCCACCAGUGCAGGUCAAGGGAAAAGUGCAGUUUUCACAGACGGCCCUGACAAGAAAGGACUAAGUAGGAAAUGAGGUAUGAAAGGGUGCACAAACAGAAUCUUUACCCCAUAGUGUCCCAUGGCUGCCCUUGAGCUGCCUCCUUUGUUGUAAAAAAAUAAAAUUAAAAAAAAAAAAAAAAAUGGCAGCCAAAACCCACAAAUCACCUCAGCUAAACUCCAAUAUGUUCUUACCUACGGGAAGGCUUCCCCCCCCCCUUGGAGGCACUAAGAGGACACAUGAACCUCUUAACUGGAGACUUUGCCCACCUCAACCCCCCAGUGUCUCCCUAUUUUGUGGUGUUGGGUUACUCUGAUGUGCACACACAUUUCAAGGCAAUUUUCACACUUGUUUUGACAUCUUCACUCUUUCCAACAGUUUUGAAGACCAGUUGGUUAAGUAGGAGAGGCGACAUCUGCGCAUUAAUAAAACCAAGGUACUAUUAGCUUCUGGGAAAUUAAAGAAACUUAACCCGGUGGUAGCAGCAGGGAUCAUGUUUCUUAAUGGUCCCUCCAAGCGAGAAAAAUGAGAAAAAAUCAUUCCUCACACAAACCAUUUCAUUAUAUAUAUCAAAGCAUUUGUGAUCAGAUUAUGUAUCAUCUAUUUUGGGGGUUUAUAUCAUGGCACAAAUUUGGCCCGUCGCUGCUACACGGUUAAAUCAGUGUGAAUAUAAACUGUACGCUUUGUAUCAAGCAGGCUAUCCAGUAGGGCACAAUAGUGACAGUACAUUAGAUAAGGCUAUACACUACGGUAUUCCCCAUCUGUAUUUAUGAAACUAAUAAAAGCAAUUACGUUCAUAGAUACUAUUUACUAAUCUGUGUUAAAACAAGUGAAAAACUAAAUAUAAAGUAGUGUACAUCCUAAACAUGCCUCCUGCUGACUCGAGUGACUGGUUAACAUUAACAAAUCACAACUUAUCUGCCCAUUACUUCAUAAUCCCCUAAUUCAUUAUCACUUUCUAUUGGCAUGACACAUCAGUGAGAAACUUGAGUUAGUAAAUAAGUUUUGAUUCCCAUUACCCAGCAGUUAUUCAAAAUACAAUGAUGCCAUUCCAACAUCAUGUAUUCAACCAAGCAGCAGGCAGCAAACUUUCUGAAGUUGGAAAGUUUCGUUUAGUCGGCGCAACAUCUGUGGUCAUAUACCGGAGAGAGACAGAGGGGGGAAGGAAUUAUAGAAGGGAACAGAUCCCAGGAGACGGGAUACAACCCCCAAUUAAUACCUGGUACCCAUUCACUGCUGGGUGGACAGGGGCAUAGGGUAUCAGAAAAGCCGCCCAAAUUUUUCCACUCCGCCUGGGAAUCGAACCCGGGCUCUCUCGGUUGUGAGCCGAGUGUGCUAACCACUGCACCACGAAGCCCCCAAACUUACUGAAGAAGGGCGUCUCUAUGGGCAAGUGCAUUUAUGCUUUGACAAACUGAAAAUAUCUGCUCAAUCCCUAGGCCUAGAAGACAGGAUGACAGAUGCAAUAGAUAGAGAUGGUUAAAGGAAAGGCAAAACUAGGAGAAUAGACUAAGCUAAAGGAUACAAUACCAGGAAAAGAUGGGAAAUAAAUUACAAGAGAGCUAGAAGAAGGGACUGACUGGCAACUUGAAAGAAUGAGAAUAAGCAGAGCAAAAGAAUUUACCUAAAAUAUGAGAAAAAAAGUAUGUCUAUCAGCAUGCAUGUGUUUCUUGUAUAUGUCUGCAUACAGAAGGACACACACACACACACACACACACACAAGAAAACCCUUCAUUCCGUAACAAACAGCAAUGAUGGGGUGCAAGGAAUGGAAAAGGGAGCAGAUUAGUCUGAGGAAAACCUUCAACAGUUCGCCCUGUCCAAAGAGGAUCACACACACACACACACACACACACACACACACA